GUGGGGAAUAUUGCACAAUGGGGGGAACCCUGAUGCAGCGACGCCGCGUGAGGGAAGAAGGUUUUCGGAUUGUAAACCUCUGUCCUUGGUGACGAUAAUGACGGUAGCCAAGGAGGAAGCCACGGCUAACUACGUGCCAGCAGCCGCGGUAAUACGUAGGUGGCAAGCGUUGUCCGGAAUUACUGGGUGUAAAGGGAGCGUAGGCGGGAAGACAAGUUGGGAGUGAAAUGUAUGGGCUUAACCCAUAAACUGCUUUCAAAACUGUUUUUCUUGAGUGAAGUAGAGGCAGGCGGAAUUCCUAGUGUAGCGGUGAAAUGCGUAAAUAUUAGGAGGAACACCAGUGGCGAAGGCGGCCUGCUGGGCUUUAACUGACGCUGAGGCUCGAAAGCGUGGGUAGCAAACAGG
rnacentral:rRNA from 1 species